AUUGAACGCUGGCGGCAGGCCUAACACAUGCAAGUCGAACGAGUGGCGGACGGGUGAGUUAUGUCUGGGAAACUGCCUGAUGGAGGGGUAUAACUAAUGGAAACGGUAGCUAAUACCGCAUACCAUCGGAUGUGCCCGGAUGGGUUUAGCUUGUUGGUGGGGUAACGGCUCACAAAGGCGACGAUCCCUAGCUGGUCUGAGAGGAUGACCAGCCACACUGGAACUGAGACACGGUCCAGACUCCUACGGGAGGCAGCAGUGGGGAAUAUUGCACAAUGGGCGCAAGCCUGAUGCAGCCAUGCCGCGUGUAUGAAGAAGGCCUUCGGGUUGUAAAGUACUUUCAGCGGGGAGGCGUUACCCGCAGAAGAAGCACCGGCUAACUCCGUGCCAGCAGCCGCGGUAAUAC
rnacentral:rRNA from 1 species